CGUCUACACGUACCGAUUUUAUCGGCCGACUUUCUCGCAGAGGAACAAUUUUCAGGAUGUGCGCAUGCGCUAAAAAUCUGUCAUGUUCUCUGCGACGAUUUCAGAGCUAGUGUUCACCGCUCACUAGCCGACGAUAAAAUCGGCGACUCUAGCCAAUUAGAUUGCUUCCAGAGAUCACGUGCUUUUCUCUCUCAUUUUGGAAUCAUUUUGGAAACAUGGCGCUUUUUCGUUGGAGCGAAAAUCAAAUUUUUCAAUUGAUUGAUUUUUAUAGAGACCAUGCUGUGUUGUGGGACACAAAUAACAUAAAUUAUAAAAAUAAAAAGUUAAAGGAUUCCCUUAUUUUGGACUUAAGCACACAAAUAUGCGUUCCAGAAAAUGAAAUUAAAAAAAAAAAAUGGAGUAACCUGCGUACUCAAUUUACAAAGGAGAAACAUAAAGAGAAAAAAAAAUUAUACAUCUGGUGCAAGCACUGCCAUGCAGUACAAAUCGGCAUGGCAGUUUUACACAUCGUUACAAUUUUUAAGUGAUGUCGUGUCCUUAAGGAAUACUGUGACUUCUUUGGAUUUUAAUGAUACUAGUACACAAGAAAGAAGUGCAGAAGUUACCAGUCAUUCUGAGGAGAUGUUUGACAUGAACGAUUUUGAAGACAGACACUGAAGAGACACAGAGAGAACUAUGUCAUACACAAACACUACCACAGCUAAAAAGACACACAUCAAACACUACAACUUCAAACAAAAAACAGAAACACGAUCACAUUUACACAGCAGCCACAACAACACUGGAAGAAAUUUCUACAAUAUUAAAAUCAAAAAACACUACUCCAAAUACA